AUUGAACGCUGGCGGCAUGCUUUACACAUGCAAGUCGAACGGCAGCGCGGGGCAACCUGGCGGCGAGUGGCGAACGGGUGAGUAAUAUAUCGGAACGUACCCAGAAGUGGGGGAUAACGUAGCGAAAGUUACGCUAAUACCGCAUACGAUCUACGGAUGAAAGUGGGGGACCUUCGGGCCUCAUGCUUGUGGAGCGGCCGAUAUCUGAUUAGCUAGUUGGUGAGGUAAAGGCUCACCAAGGCGACGAUCCGUAGCUGGUCUGAGAGGACGACCAGCCAAACUGGGACUGAGACACGGCCCAGACGCCUACGGGAGGCAGCAGUGGGGAAUUUUGGACAAUGGGCGAAAGCCUGAUCCAGCAAUGCCGCGUGAGUGAAGAAGACCUUCGGGUUGUAAAGCUCUUUUGUCAGGGAAGAAACGGUCUGGGCUAAUAUCCUGGGCUAAUGACGGUACCUGAAGAAUAAGCACCGGCUAACUACGUGCCAGCCGCCGCGGUAACAC
rnacentral:rRNA from 1 species